GUGAAUCAUCGAAUUUUUGAACGCAAAUUGCGCCUUUUUCGGAAGGCAUGUCUGUUUGAGGGCACCAUUUAACAAAUAAUGUGCAGCGUUUUUUGUUGCACACGUUGAUGAGCUCUCCAAGAAUUUUAAAUUUUUGGUGGCGCAUAAUGGACAGCGUGAAAGUUUUUUUCAGUUCGAGUGCAGUAAAAUUUUUUUUCGACGCUUGGGUGGUUGGAAAGUGUGCGCAAUGGGUGUGGCGAGUACCCUGCCCCAACGCCACUCUUUCCUCGUGAAAGAAAAAAAUUCUAAUCAUCAG
rnacentral:misc_RNA from 1 species